rnacentral:rRNA from 1 species
GACGAACGCUGGCGGCGUGCUUAACACAUGCAAGUCGAACGGAAAGGCCCCUUUGGGGGUACUCGAGUGGCGCACGGGUGCGUAACACGUGAGUAACCUGCCCUUGACUUCGGGAUAACUUCAGGAAACUGGGGCUAAUACCGGAUAGGAAUCCUUGCUGCAUGGUGGGGGUUGGAAAGCUUCGGCGGUUUUGGAUGGACUCGCGGCUUAUCAGCUUGUUGGUGGGGUAGUGGCUUACCAAGGCUUUGACGGGUAGCCGGCCUGAGAGGGCGACCGGCCACAUUGGGACUGAGAUACGGCCCAGACUCCUACGGGAGGCAGCAGUGGGGAAUAUUGCACAAUGGGCGGAAGCCUGAUGCAGCAACGCCGCGUGCGGGAUGACGGCCUUCGGGUUGUAAACCGCUUUCAGCAGGGGCGAAGCUUGUGGUGACGGUACCUGCAGAAGAAGCACCGGCUAACUACGU